AGUGAACGCUGGCGGCGUGCCUAAUACAUGCAAGUCGAACGGAGAUUUAGUAGCUUGCUCUUUAAUCUUAUUGGCGCACGGGUGAGUAAUAUAUAGCUAACUUGCCCAUUACUAAGGGACAACAGUUGGAAACGACUGCUAAUACCUUAUACUCCGUAUCUAUAUAAGUAGAUACGUGAAAGUUUUUCGGUAAUGGAUAGGGCUAUAUCGUAUCAGCUAGUUGGUAAGGUAAUGGCUUACCAAGGCUAUGACGCGUAACUGGUCUGAGAGGAUGAUCAGUCAAACUGGAACUGAGACACGGUCCAGACUCCUACGGGAGGCAGCAGUAGGGAAUAGUGCUCAAGGGGGGAAAGCCUGAAGCAGCAACGCCGCGUGAAGGAUGACACUUUUCGGAGCGUAAACUCCUUUUCUUGGGAAAGAAUUAUGACGGUACCCAAGGAAUAAGCACCGGCUAACUCCGUG
rnacentral:rRNA from 1 species